GAAGCCAGCUUCCCCUGGAAAACAACCACAUUCUGCCCUACUUUCUCAUGUCUAUGUGGCCCUCCCUGAGUGGGAAGCUUAAGUUUUGUAAGAUUGACCAUAAGUGUGGUGAUAUUUCCUUAUUCCAGGGAAUGGAGCUAGUCAUGCCACACAUCUUUGCUGUUCUCACGAACUGAGAUUCUUCUUAUGUUGCUAUUUUGAACUCCUGAACUCAAGUGAUCCUCCUGCCUUGGCCUCCCAAAGUGCUGGGAUUACAGGCCUGAGCCACUGCACCCUGCCCAAGGUCCUUCUACACUGGGCUAAAUGACAACAUGGUAGCUGACUUCCCACAGAAAGAGAGAACAAAGAAAGCAGGAGCGAGAAAGUGAGAGUAAGAGACAGAACAAGAGAGAGUGAGCAAGAAAAUGUGCAACCAUGUGCACCCAAAUGUGCACUGAAGACAGAAGUCACAAUCUUUCUGUGAUCUAAUCUUGAAGUGACAUCUCAUCAUUUUUUCAUAUUUGUUAGAAGCAAGUCAACUUCAGCACAUAACCAAGGAGAGAAAAUUACACAAGGGUGUGAAAUACCAGAACCAUGGCUCGUUGUGAUCCAUCCUAGGGAGUAUUUGAUGCACUGUCCUGGGCAAAUGGCAGAAAUAAAUUCCAUAUCAAACCACCUUCACCUCUAUCCUUCAAUUUCUACUUGGUAAGG